rnacentral:rRNA from 1 species
CACGUAGGGUGCGAGCGUUGUCCGGAAUUAUUGGGCGUAAAGAGCUCGUAGGCGGUUCGGCAAGUCGACGGUGAAAUCUCCACGCUCAACGUGGAGGGGUCCGUCGAUACUGCCGUGACUCGAGUCCGGUAGGGGAGUGUGGAAUUCCCGGUGUAGCGGUGAAAUGCGUAGAUAUCGGGAGGAAUACCUAUGGCGAAAGCAGGCUACUGGACCGUCAACUGACUCUGAUCUGCGAAAGCUAGGGGAGCAAACAGG